CUGAACCAGCCAAGUAGCGUGAAGGAUGAAGGUCCUACGGAUUGUAAACUUCUUUUAUACGGGAAUAAAGUGAGGCACGUGUGCCUUUUUGUAUGUACCGUAUGAAUAAGGAUCGGCUAACUCCGUGCCAGCAGCCGCGGUAAUACGGAGGAUCCGAGCGUUAUCCGGAUUUAUUGGGUUUAAAGGGAGCGUAGGCGGACGCUUAAGUCAGUUGUGAAAGUUUGCGG
rnacentral:rRNA from 1 species